GGUACGGCGCGCUCUGCUCUCGUUGAUGGAUGGUUGCCAGUCUGCCGGUUGUGAAGCUACCGGGAUACAGACAGGAUUGCGCGGGCUGUGCAUGAUGAAAUGAAGGUGGCUCGGGAGCAGCUCAAUGAGGCUGUGGUACUGACAUCGUUGAGAAGAUUCUCAGCUAUGCACUGGACAUCCAUGUACAAUUAUACCCUUUGCAGUGGGGCAUGAAGCCAGAGGACAUCCAUCCAAAUCAUUGCCCCACCAAUUCAAACUGAUGUUCUCAAGUCCGAGGCAUAGAUAUAGCAAGACAGCCAUGAAUGCCAAACCAGCAUCAAGGGCACCUGACAGCAGAUAAUUGUGUCGCUCCCACCAAUCUCGCCGGUACUUAUAGACCACGUAACCUGACAAAAAUGCAACGAAUAUCCAUGCAUUAUAGUUGACUGCAGUGGCAGGAGGCAUAAAGCUGGUCGCACCGAUCAGUAUGGGCGCGUUGACAAGUAGGAUCCACUUCUGAGCUGGGAAUGCCUUGUGUGCAAACCAGACAAGGAGGGGAGCAAUGGCACCACCCAAGAAGAACCAGUUCACGGCUGAGGCUAUCCACUGGAAGGAGCUCGGUGUUGCAGAUAUUGGGGAUUGUGGCCAUCAACCACCAUGCUGUUCCAAGGGCUGUACCUGCAAACUGUGUGAUUCACUCAGGUCAGGAGGAACUGGCAAAAGCUGUCUUGAUAUUUGGAACUUGUCUUGAGCUUAAGAGAGAAUCAUGAAAGUGAUAAUAAUAAUCAAAGCUACCUGAACAGGGAGACCUGCACGAGGUUGGACGGCCACCACAUCGACGCCGGCUCCACCAGAUACCGCCGGAAUAUUCCCGCCCAACCGAAACCCAGCACCUGACAACGAGGAGUGAGACAAAGAAGGAGGUCUGCUGGCCGUAGAACACCCGGGCAGCGGUUAUGACGUUGAUGGCGAAGACACUGCCGGCGCCGGCGUUGGCGAAGAUGGUGAUGAGCACGUGCUCCUUGACGUUGAAUG